AUUGAACGCUGGCGGCAUGCUUUACACAUGCAAGUCGAACGGUAACAGGUUAAGCUGACGAGUGGCGAACGGGUGAGUAAUGCAUCGGAACGUGCCCGAUCGUGGGGGAUAACGCAGCGAAAGCUGCGCUAAUACCGCAUACGAUCUGAGGAUGAAAGCGGGGGACCGUAAGGCCUCGCGCGAUCGGAGGGGCCGAUGUCAGAUUAGGGAGUUGGGGGGGUAAAGGCCCACCAAGCCGACGAUCUGUAGCUGGUCUGAGAGGACGACCAGCCACACUGGGACUGAGACACGGCCCAGACUCCUACGGGAGGCAGCAGUGGGGAAUUUUGGACAAUGGGCGAAAGCCUGAUCCAGCAAUGCCGCGUGCAGGAAGAAGGCCUUCGGGUUGUAAACUGCUUUUGUACGGAGCGAAAAGGUCCUUUCUAAUACAAGGGGCUCAUGACGGUACCGUAAGAAUAAGCACCGGCUAACUACGUGCCAGCCGCCGCAGUAAUAC
rnacentral:rRNA from 1 species